UUUACAACAAGAACAACAACAACUAGAAAAGAAAAUCAAAAUGAAAACAAUCAUUUUCAUUUCCCUCUGCCUUUGCCUGCUGGUCUCCACAAUUUCAGCUGAAAAAUCCCACAAACAUUCUGGUGAUUCGAAAAAACUUUUGAAAAAUGGUGGCCACGAAAAA